CCUACGGGUGGCAGCAGUGGGGAAUAUUGCGCAAUGGGCGAAAGCCUGACGCAGCGACGCCGCGUGAGGGAUGAAGGUUUUCGGAUCGUAAACCUCUGUCAGCAGGGAAGAACGGGCACGGUGCUAAUCAGCAGUGCAUUGACGGUACCUGCAAAGGAAGCACCGGCUAACUCCGUGCCAGCAGCCGCGGUAAUACGGAGGGUGCGAGCGUUAAUCGGAAUUACUGGGCGUAAAGCGCGCGUAGGCGGUAGGGCAAGUAAGGGGUGAAAUCCCCGCGCUCAACGUGGGAACCGCCUUUGAUACUGGCAAACUGGAGUGUGUGAGAGGGUAGUGGAAUUCCAGGUGUAGGAGUGAAAUCCGUAGAUAUCUGGAGGAACAUCAGUGGCGAAGGCGGCUAUCUGGCCCGUAACUGACGCUGAGGAGCGAAAGCGUGGGGAGCAAACAGGAUUAGAUACCCCUGUAGUC
rnacentral:rRNA from 1 species